UGUAUGGCACACCUUGCCUCAAAAGAUAUUUUGUACUUUCGACAAAGGCAUUGACUGCAAGGUAAAAAUUUAUUUAUGAAUUUUGCUUGGUUAUAAAAUAUUCACACCAGGAGAUUCAUUUCUCCUUAGAAUAUAUAGUAUAUACAAAUAUGUAUGUAUUAUUGUUUUGAUGUAAGAAUAAUCCACUAAUUUAUUAUCUGUAAAUUGACUUACCUGUCAUGAUGAUUCCUUCAAUUGUCUGAUGUGAAAGGACCAUCUUGUUUCUCUCCUGCUUUGUAAAUCCUGGCCUUGCUGUGACUGAGGCCUGCCAGUUACUGAAAUAGUCCAGGAAUUCGCCUCUCAAAAACUAGAAGAAAUAACAAAAUUAUGCCUGCUUGUAUGGAGCAAGGUCAGGUUUCCGUGUACGUAUGGCCUCAUGUAGUGACCGCCCAUUCAAACAAUCAAAAAACCUGUCCACCAGUUGGAAGAAUUUGGAGGUCUCUGCCAUCUCUGGGCCAUAAUAGGCAGACAUUAUUCUACCAACAGACCUGCUUAACACCUAGAGAGCAUGUUGGGAAAUGUGUACCUGUGCUGCCAGACGGACAUUCAUGGUCGAUGAAGGAGUGAGAUAAACAUGGUCAUACUUAAGCUUGGUCCUGUACAACUGUCCUUGCAUGUCAUCGUUAUAAACUGUCUCAACAUGCGACCAUAAAAUGUUUGAAUAUUUGGUGCCACCUGGACGAGACUUGUGGACAUUGUUUCUUAUGGUUUUAAUGAGGUGUGGAACAUCAGAAAAGAAAUAGAUAUUUCUUUUUUCUUCGGAAAAAGGAUUGUCAGCAAAGAACACCACAUCUUCAUUCCCUGUUCUGUGCAGCCUGUAAAGCCUCUGAUUCGGAGACGCUUUGUCGCUGGUGGAUGAGAUCACCUAAAUAAAUUGAACCUUCAAUCCACAAGUUAUCUCGAGGUAGGCCACAGCUUUCCAAAGAAGGGGGAACAACUCAUCAGCAGUUGAAGAUCUUGUCGGGAAAUGCCCAAUGCUCAUUUUGAUGUUGGAAUUAAUCCCAAUCACCAUGAAAACCAAGACAUGGGUGGCAAUUCGUUUUGUUUCAUCCUACAUAUAAGGUUUUUUGGAAAUGGAAUUAAGCAGUUAAAGUGAAAAUAAGAAGAUCAAAGAAGGAUAUGAACAGAGGAAAAGUUAUACAUGCCAUCAUGAUUUUAUUAACAUUAUGUUUCAAAACUUUUUAAGUGUAUAAACCUCAUCAAAUGUCCAGGUCUCUGGGUUGGUGAAUCCUAUAACUUGCUCACUUCUCCUGUCAUAUACAAGAUCCGACUUGACCUUCAUUUCAUCAUGUAGGAGACACACAUACUUCUUCUCUGAUGGCAAGUCCUUGGCAACUUUUUUUAAUUCCUUUAUCCAAAUAGUUUAUUAAAGAUCAAUCUAAAUUACACUGAACAUCUUUUCUAGGCCAUUUAGAAAUAUUUAUUUUACUAAAACAAAAACAAUUUUAUGUAAGCCAGUACAUCAUAUUAAUCUGAGAAUGAUAUUCACCUGAAAAGCCUCAGCCUGAAAACCAGAUUUAGGCUGGAUGAAAUUAGUGUAGUCGCGAAGAGUAGCUUGAUUUGGUAGUCGAAGGACUCCACUUUCUCUCAAAGACUCAUAUGCUCUGGGACUUUGGCAACGGAGAUAAAUGGCAAAACGGAUCAUCAUCGGAUGCCAUCUCAUUCCUAAUAAUGAUUAACGAAAAGGUCCAUGAGAGCGUUGCCAGAUUUACAACUUUGAAGAGUUGCAAAAAGGCCCUCUCCAACAUCAUCAGCAACAGAAGCUGUCUCACCUUUAAAACAUUAUUUUACCUCUACUCAAAGAUUCUACAAGACUCUGAAGCUUUCUGUUCUCUUCUCGGAUGACUUUGAAAUGUUUGAUGAGAGUUGUUUGUGGGACAUGUUUCAAAGGGGUUUUAGGAUGAAGCAUAUUGGGAGAAGCAUUUUCCUGUGCAUUCAGUGAGGAUUCAAGCUUAGAACAAGGACCACAUAAUGCGUUGCCCUGAACUCCUCCUAAGCAACCAUUGGCACGAAUCACACUUUUGUUGGAUGGUUUUCCAUUAAUGACGUGGGUGGAAAAAAAGCGGUAUCCCUGCGAACUUUUGAUAGUGACAUCUGGGCUGUCUUUAAUCCCAGCGCAUUUAGUUAUUUUGUCUACAGCCUCCAAAAAUUUGUUGACACGCAUUUUCUCCACUGAGUUCUCGAAUCCUUGGACCACCACCUCUGUUUUUGGAAAAAAUUGUUAACUUGAAACCAGUCCUUGGCUGCGUUUAACUAAAGGAUUGCAACUUAUGGCCACAUUAAUGAAUGCUUAUUAAUCAGGAACUAAUAAUUUUUUUACAAAAUAUGAUUUUUAUGGAAAUCAAAAUAAUUGUAAAUAUUAGGCCAUCCUUAAAAAAAAGUUUGCUUGGAAUUGCCACCUGGAAGUUUCUAGAUAGAAGAAUGGAGGAAUAGAAAAAUAGAUUAAUUUUCUAAAUCUAAAGUUUAACUAAUUAAAAAUCGAUAAAAAAAAUAAAAAUCUCCAUAUACAUGUAUUAAAAAAAAAAAUCUUUAUUUUUUGGUAGUAAAUUUAUCAGUAAGGGGCAUUUGAAUGAGAUGGGAGGCAAAUCCAACAAACAAUUUUUUGGGGGUCUUUAAUUGUUUUUCAUAAUUUUUUUUUUAAAGAUAUUUCAUCAGACUGAAAAUAUCUAUGACUUUGUCGUAAGUUCUUUUGUAAAACCCAGUGGUGUUAUUUACAAUAAAUACAUGUACUGU
rnacentral:sRNA from 1 species